CAUUUAGAUAUAGAUUGUAUAUUAAAAAAUCAAAAAAGAUUGAUUGAGUUUAAGUUUAUUUUAUAUUUUAUAAAAUUUAGUUGCGAGAAUCGCUUAAAACAUACUAACUAAAUCUGUAGAGUUAAGCGACGCAUUUAGAUGUUUAAGAUUAGAGUAUCAUUAACUAACUCAAAUCUAAUAUAUAGAAAAGUUGGAUAAUAAAAAUAAAAUUUUGAAAGAUUAGAUUUACACUUUUCGUCCUUAAAACUAUAAGACGAGUGACACUUUAAUCCUUGAACUUUAAUGUGUUAUGAUUUAAACUAUGAGGCAUGUGACACUUUGAUCCUCAAACUUUAAUUAGUUGCAAUUUCUGACUUGAAAUAUAAGGUAUAUUAUUUUAGUUCUCAAUCAAUGUUUAUUGCUGCUAUAAAUAUAAUUUCUUAUUCGUAUUGUUUUUUUUCUUUAUUUUUUUAAUCUUUUUUAUAACUUAUUUUUAUAUUUUUAUUACAGCAAUAGUUGCUUAUUUAAUUUUCAAUUGCUUUUUUUUUUUUUUGCUAUUUUUUAUAUUAUUUAUAUAUUUAUUUUUACAAAAUCAUCUCGCCGUAAUGCACGGAUCCUUUGCUAGUAUAUAU
rnacentral:lncRNA from 1 species